CCCUUAGAUGUUCUGGGCGGCCCGCGCACUACAAUGGCGCUUUCAGCGAGUUCCUAUGUUGAAUUUUCCUGGGUAUUCUUGGAAGCGGCGUCUUGACUUGGGAUAGAUCCUUGUAAUUGUUGGUUUUGAACGAGGAAUUCCUUGUAAUCGCGGUUGAUCAGCUCGCGCUGAAUACGUCCCUGCCCUUUGUACACACCGCCCGUCGCUCCUACCGAUUGAGUGGUCCGGUGAGGCUUUGGGAUCUGAGCGGAAAGAGCGUUUCGCUGUUUCUGCUCGGAAAACUCAGUCGAACCUUAUCAUUUAGAGGAAGGAGAAGUCGUAACA
rnacentral:rRNA from 1 species